rnacentral:sRNA from 1 species
UUUGAUGAAGUGAAGUGAGGAAGAGGACAUCAUUUCAAAAGAUUAGACGGAGUCACAGAGACGAGAUAUCAAAUAUAUCACUAUAUU